rnacentral:rRNA from 1 species
GACGAACGCUGGCGGCGUGCUUAACACAUGCAAGUCGAACGGAAAGGCCUCUUUCGGGGGGUACUCGGGUGGCGAACGGGUGAGUAACACGUGAGUAACCUGCCCUUGACUUUGGGAUAACUUCAGGAAACUGGGGCUAAUACCGGAUAGGAGCUCCUGCUGCAUGGUGGGGGUUGGAAAGUUUCGGCGGUUGGGGAUGGACUCGCGGCUUAUCAGCUUGUUGGUGGGGUAGUGGCUUACCAAGGCUUUGACGGGUAGCCGGCCUGAGAGGGUGACCGGCCACAUUGGGGCUGAGAUACGGCCCAGACUCCUACGGGAGGCAGCAGUGGGGAAUAUUGCACAAUGGGUGGAAGCCUGAUGCAGCAACGCCGUGUGCGGGAUGACGGCCUUCGGGUUGUAAACCGCUUUCGCUCAUGACGAAGCUUUGUGUGACGGUAGUGGGUAAAGAAGCACCGGCUAACUACGUG